rnacentral:rRNA from 1 species
AGCUCUCCGAGUGGUGUGGAUGUUUAUUGGGCCUAAAGCAUCCGUAGCUGGCUGGGCAAGUCCCCUGUUAAAUCCACCGAAUUAAUCGUUGGAGUGCGGGGGAUACUGUUCAGCUUGGGGACGGGAGAGGCCGACGGUAUUUCCGGGGUAGGGGUGAAAUCCUAUAAUCCCGGGAGGACCACCAGUGGCGAAGGCUGUCGGCUAGAACGCGCCCGACGGUGAGGGAUGAAAGCUGGGGGAGCGAACCGGAUUAGAUACCCGAGUAGUCC